rnacentral:rRNA from 1 species
UUAAGCGACUAAGCGUACACGGUGGAUGCCCUGGCAGUCAGAGGCGAUGAAGGACGUGCUAAUCUGCGAUAAGCGUCGGUGAGGUGAUAUGAACCGUUAUAACCGGCGAUUUCCGAAUGGGGAAACCCAGUGUGUUUCGACACACUAUCAUUAACUGAAUCCAUAGGUUAAUGAGGCGAACCGGGGGAACUGAAACAUCUAAGUACCCCGAGGAAAAGAAAUCAACCGAGAUUCCCCCAGUAGCGGCGAGCGAACGGGGAGGAGCCCAGAGCCUGAAUCAGUGUGUGUGUUAGUGGAAGCGUCUGGAAAGGCGCGCGAUACAGGGUGACAGCCCCGUACACAAAAAUGCACAUAUUGUGAGCUCGAUGAGUAGGGCGGGACACGUGGUAUCCUGUCUGAAUAUGGGGGGACCAUCCUCCAAGGCUAAAUACUCCUGACUGACCGAUAGUGAACCAGUACCGUGAGGGAAAGGCGAAAAGAACCCCGGCGAGGGGAGUGAAAAAGAACCUGAAACCGUGUACGUACAAGCAGUGGGAGCCUCUUAAUGGGGUGACUGCGUACCUUUUGUAUAAUGGGUCAGCGACUUAUAUUCUGUAGCAAGGUUAACCGAAUAGGGGAGCCGAAGGGAAACCGAGUCUUAACUGGGCGUUAAGUUGCAGGGUAUAGACCCGAAACCCGGUGAUCUAGCCAUGGGCAGGUUGAAGGUUGGGUAACACUAACUGGAGGACCGAACCGACUAAUGUUGAAAAAUUAGCGGAUGACUUGUGGCUGGGGGUGAAAGGCCAAUCAAACCGGGAGAUAGCUGGUUCUCCCCGAAAGCUAUUUAGGUAGCGCCUCGUGAAUUCAUCUCCGGGGGUAGAGCACUGUUUCGGCAAGGGGGUCAUCCCGACUUACCAACCCGAUGCAAACUGCGAAUACCGGAGAAUGUUAUCACGGGAGACACACGGCGGGUGCUAACGUCCGUCGUGAAGAGGGAAACAACCCAGACCGCCAGCUAAGGUCCCAAAGUCAUGGUUAAGUGGGAAACGAUGUGGGAAGGCCCAGACAGCCAGGAUGUUGGCUUAGAAGCAGCCAUCAUUUAAAGAAAGCGUAAUAGCUCACUGGUCGAGUCGGCCUGCGCGGAAGAUGUAACGGGGCUAAACCAUGCACCGAAGCUGCGGCAGCGACACUAUGUGUUGUUGGGUAGGGGAGCGUUCUGUAAGCCUGUGAAGGUGGCCUGUGAGGGUUGCUGGAGGUAUCAGAAGUGCGAAUGCUGACAUAAGUAACGAUAAAGCGGGUGAAAAGCCCGCUCGCCGGAAGACCAAGGGUUCCUGUCCAACGUUAAUCGGGGCAGGGUGAGUCGACCCCUAAGGCGAGGCCGAAAGGCGUAGUCGAUGGGAAACAGGUUAAUAUUCCUGUACUUGGUGUUACUGCGAAGGGGGGACGGAGAAGGCUAUGUUGGCCGGGCGACGGUUGUCCCGGUUUAAGCGUGUAGGCUGGUUUUCCAGGCAAAUCCGGAAAACCAAGGCUGAGGCGUGAUGACGAAGCACUACGGUGCUGAAGCGACAAAUGCCCUGCUUCCAGGAAAAGCCUCUAAGCAUCAGGUAACAUCAAAUCGUACCCCAAACCGACACAGGUGGUCAGGUAGAGAAUACCAAGGCGCUUGAGAGAACUCGGGUGAAGGAACUAGGCAAAAUGGUGCCGUAACUUCGGGAGAAGGCACGCUGAUAUGUAGGUGAAGCGACUUGCUCGUGGAGCUGAAAUCAGUCGAAGAUACCAGCUGGCUGCAACUGUUUAUUAAAAACACAGCACUGUGCAAACACGAAAGUGGACGUAUACGGUGUGACGCCUGCCCGGUGCCGGAAGGUUAAUUGAUGGGGUUAGCGGCAACGCGAAGCUCUUGAUCGAAGCCCCGGUAAACGGCGGCCGUAACUAUAACGGUCCUAAGGUAGCGAAAUUCCUUGUCGGGUAAGUUCCGACCUGCACGAAUGGCGUAAUGAUGGCCAGGCUGUCUCCACCCGAGACUCAGUGAAAUUGAACUCGCUGUGAAGAUGCAGUGUACCCGCGGCAAGACGGAAAGACCCCGUGAACCUUUACUAUAGCUUGACACUGAACAUUGAGCCUUGAUGUGUAGGAUAGGUGGGAGGCUUUGAAGUGUGGACGCCAGUCUGCAUGGAGCCGACCUUGAAAUACCACCCUUUAAUGUUUGAUGUUCUAACGUGGGCCCCUAAUCGGGGUUGCGGACAGUGUCUGGUGGGUAGUUUGACUGGGGCGGUCUCCUCCUAAAGAGUAACGGAGGAGCACGAAGGUUGGCUAAUCCUGGUCGGACAUCAGGAGGUUAGUGCAAUGGCAUAAGCCAGCUUGACUGCGAGCGUGACGGCGCGAGCAGGUGCGAAAGCAGGUCAUAGUGAUCCGGUGGUUCUGAAUGGAAGGGCCAUCGCUCAACGGAUAAAAGGUACUCCGGGGAUAACAGGCUGAUACCGCCCAAGAGUUCAUAUCGACGGCGGUGUUUGGCACCUCGAUGUCGGCUCAUCACAUCCUGGGGCUGAAGUAGGUCCCAAGGGUAUGGCUGUUCGCCAUUUAAAGUGGUACGCGAGCUGGGUUUAGAACGUCGUGAGACAGUUCGGUCCCUAUCUGCCGUGGGCGCUGGAGAACUGAGGGGGGCUGCUCCUAGUACGAGAGGACCGGAGUGGACGCAUCACUGGUGUUCGGGUUGUCAUGCCAAUGGCACUGCCCGGUAGCUAAAUGCGGAAGAGAUAAGUGCUGAAAGCAUCUAAGCACGAAACUUGCCCCGAGAUGAGUUCUCCCUGAGACUUAGAGUCUCCUGAAGGAACGUUGAAGACGACGACGUUGAUAGGCCGGGUGUGUAAGCGCAGCGAUGCGUUGAGCUAACCGGUACUAAUGAACCGUGAGGCUUAACCU